GAUGAACGCUGGCGGCGUGCCUAAUACAUGCAAGUCGAGCGAACAGACGAGGAGCUUGCUCCUCUGACGUUAGCGGCGGACGGGUGAGUAACACGUGGCUAACCUACCUAUAAGACUGGGAUAACUUCGGGAAACCGGAGCUAAUACCGGAUAAUAUAUUGAACCGCAUGGUUCAAUAGUGAAAGACGGUUUUGCUGUCACUUAUAGAUGGAUCCGCGCCGCAUUAGCUAGUUGGUAAGGUAACGGCUUACCAAGGCGACGAUGCGUAGCCGACCUGAGAGGGUGAUCGGCCACACUGGAACUGAGACACGGUCCAGACUCCUACGGGAGGCAGCAGUAGGGAAUCUUCCGCAAUGGGCGAAAGCCUGACGGAGCAACGCCGCGUGAGUGAUGAAGGUCUUCGGAUCGUAAAACUCUGUUAUUAGGGAAGAACAAAUGUGUAAGUAACUAUGCACGUCUUGACGGUACCUAAUCAGAAAGCCACGGCUAACUACGUG
rnacentral:rRNA from 1 species